rnacentral:misc_RNA from 1 species
UCCGAUAGAAGGGGAUUCCGGCAAGGGGAAAACGACGCUGGAUCAGAAAAUUAGCAGCCAAGAUCAGAAGAAAGAAACUGAAAAUAAAAACCCAGAAAAGGAGAAGGAAUCUAAAACCGAGGAGGUGGGUAAGAAUGAAGAAACCGCCAAGAUCGGCACCGGAACUCCAGCUCCGAAAGCGACCAGAGUCGGUAAACUUGCCGGGAGGUUCACGAUCCGGAAGAUGCCGGUAGGAGCGACGGUGAGUCUCUCGGCGACGGUUGUGAUUGCGGUGGUGGCAUAUUUUGCGUAUGCUUAUUG